rnacentral:rRNA from 1 species
UGCGUAGGCGGAUUAAUAAGUCAGUGGUGAAAACCUUCAGCUUAACUGGAGAACUGCCAUUGAUACUGUUAGUCUUGAGUACGGUCAAGGUAGGCGGAAUGUGUAAUGUAGCGGUGAAAUGCUUAGAUAUUACACAGAACACCGAUUGCGAAGGCAGCUUACUGGGCCAUUACUGACGCUGAUGCACGAAAGCGUGGGGAGCGAACAGGAUUAGAUACCCUGGUAGUC